rnacentral:rRNA from 1 species
UGCGUAGGUGGUUUUGUAUGUCGGAUGUGAAAGCCCAUGGCUCAACUGUGGAACUGCAUUCGAAACUGCAAGACUUGAGUACAGGAGGGGAGAGCGGAAUUCUUGGUGUAGCGGUGAAAUGCGUUGAUAUCAAGAAGAAGACCGGUGGCGAAGGCGGCUCUCUGGAAUGUUACUGACACUGAGGCACGAAAGUUGGGGGAGCAAACAGGAUUAGAUACCCUGGUAGUCC